UCUUAGAAAUCGCUGUAUAUUUAGCAGCACAGUAGGCUACUGUAAAAAUCUACAGUGCAAUACCACAUUUCUUCAUUACAGUAAAAUACUUCAUUUUAUGUUGCAUUGUGGGUAAUUUUGAUGAAGCGGGAAUAUUUUACAGUAUAUUUUAGGCUUGCUGUAACCUGGCUGUAAUAUGCCAUGGCAAUAAUACAGCAUUGCUGUAAAAAACGACUCCUAAUGUCAGUUACUCAGACAGAACACCAAACUGGCCCCCAGAUACUGAAGGAGAAGCCUUGCUAGCGGGGGAUGUUUGGAAGUUUUGGUCACUGCAACCCAAGCAGACAUUGAGGCACAUCAGAUGACCAGACAGACACCCCCACCCUCAUUAUGAUGGUGGAUCUAUUGAGG